ensembl:miRNA Mir7578 microRNA 7578
UCUUUAGUGAAGGAGAAAGGGGCUAGGUGGUGGGAUAGGUAACUGAGACUCAAUGCCACAUGGCUCUGUCUUCUGCCUCAGA